AGUCCUGGCUGACCAGGCUUUAUCAUUAACCUACCACCCCCUGACUGAGUUUGGCCACAUCAGACAUGCCAAAACUCUAAAAGCCCUGAAAAAUAUUAGAGCCACAACCUGUGAAGUGGAUCCAAGCCCUCUUGGCUGGUAAAAGGCAGUGCAGAAUGGAAAUAUUCAGUGCCUCCUUCAGAGAAGCACAACUACCAAACUCCUUAAAAAUGCAAUAGUUCACUCAAACCCCAUGAAGUCAAUUUGAUCCCAAAGAUCUCUCUAACCACCAUUCUGUCUUCAGUCUCUUUUUCCAGGGCAAAAUAACUGAGAAAGUGGGAUCCACCAGGCUCCAACACCAUGUGACAUCAGCCAACAUCCUGGAUGCCUCACAGUUGGGUUUCAGACUGGGGCACAGCACAGAGACUGCUCUAGUGGCAUUAAAAGACAAUCUCCUCAUGGCCAUGGUCUCAAGUAAGGUCUCCAUGCUCAUGCUACUAGACCUCUCUGCAGCCUUUGUCACAAUGGACAAGGUAGCCCAGGAUUUGAGAGUGGAACCUCUGAGACUUGAGAAAAAUGAAGUGAACACCAGGAGUGGAAGCGUUUCCACUUCUAAAGAUUGCCUAUCAAACAGGAUUGGAGGCUUGGAACUGUAAAUGAAGAAGCAUGCUAACUUCAAAGCAUGGGUCAUUGUGCUCGACUGUGGGAAAUCCACAGACCCAGGCUGCAUUUAGUCAACAAAGGAAGAGCACCUGCUGAGGUGGAGACACUUGCCAGAUUGCUUUCCGGAGAAAACAGCUGUAAAAAUGAAUCCAGGGGAUGAUCCUGUAUCUCUGGACUGAUGGAUUCUGACAGGGUGGAAAACUGAGUGAUUUGACAGAAAUCCCUAGAGCUAUUCUAGGUAACCCUGAGAGACUUAUGGAGAACUAGCAGAUUACUACGUCUCUGCUAUCAUGUUGGACUUACAAACUUUGACUCACUUGUUAAUGCAUUUGAUCUAACUUCUCAAUAACUCAUUUCUUUUUCUUAGCUAAUAGACCUUUAGUUAGUUUAUCAGAGAGAUUGGCUGCCAGCAUUGUCUGAUGUGAGAUCCAGAGUAUCCGUUGUCCUGGGAUUCCAAGGCCAGAAGGGACCAUUGUGAUCAUCUAGUCUGACCUCUGGUAUAACACAGACCAUAGAACUUCCCCAAAACUUUUUCAGAGUCGCUGCUUCUCAAGAGAGAGUCCCCCAUUUUACUUUCCGAAGUGUGGAUGCCCGAGUUGGACACAGUAUUCCAGGAAUGGCCUCCUAAUGCCGUAUACAGAGGCCCGUAGGAAAGAAAAGUGCAGUGAUCAGAACAAGAGAAACAUUUAAAUAUAGGAUGGAUUCAAGUUUUCCUCCACAAGAGCACUGAACAGAUCCCUCAUCUCCCUUCCCCAGCAAUGAGUAAGGAAGCCACUCCAAAUCAUUAUACGAAGAGUAUGUUUACUAAUGUGAAAAUGAGAAUU